rnacentral:rRNA from 1 species
UACGUGCGGGGCGAACGUUGUUCGGUGUCACUGGGCUUAAAGGGUGCGUAGGUGGUUGCGUAAGUAAGGUGUGAAAUCCCUCGGCUUACCCGGGGAAUUGCAUUUUAUACUGCGUGGCUUGAGGACUAAAGGGGAAAAGGGAACUCCAGGUGUAGCGGUGAAAUGCGCAGAUAUCUGGGGGAAGGCCGGCGGCGAAGGCGCUUUUCUGGUGAGUACCUGGCACUGAGGCACGAAAGCGUGGGGAGCAAACAGG